CGUGGGCUUGAUGAGCGAUGGAUUGUUAGGUGUGGUUUUAUGCUACAUGGUUAUUUCACUCUUCAAGGAUAUAUUUUUACAGCUUGGAGCGUUAUUUUACAACAGUGUUCCACGUGGCCAUUUUAACCGCCAUUUUGAAUCGCCAUUUGCAUGGUGAACUGUGAAGCGUGGGGUGGCGUGGAUGAAGCGCGGCAGUUCCCUAUACACCGUGCAUACUGCAUAUAUCGUGAAGCGAGGCCUCCGGUGCGGCGAAGCAUGCAGUGUCUGCUAGACGACCAAAACUGCGGCAAGCAGUGAACAACAAAGUCGUGGCACGACCUGACCCCUGAUUAUGGGGACUAGUGAGGAGCCAAAUGAGUUAAAGGAAAGAGUCGUCAAGAACAUCCAGCAAGUGUGUGACGAACUGGUGGCGCUACUCGCCUACGGACGCUGGGCGAUCUCAAGAACGAGCAGAGCUCCGUGAGUGUUCACUUCUUCAGUCGUCCCGCCUCAACGUUCAGGGAGCACUGGGCCACUUUAAGCUGUCAAAGUCAAAGGUCGGUGAAGUUGCCACAAUCCUUGCAGCCCAUGCCCCCAUGUUUUGUCUUCCGUUCCGUGGACCAUGCAAGCAUAUAUGUACCUAUUCGAGGUGCUCUACAAGAAAGCCCUAUAGUUCGUUUUUCUUAAGUUCGACCCUCACUGUAAACAUCUGUUUGAACACAGC